rnacentral:lncRNA from 1 species
GGCCGGCCCGAGGGGACACGGGGUGUCACCUGGGGAGGGGACAGGGUGGGCAGUGACCCUCCAGUGUCCGAGCGAGGACUGGACACAAGGACGUGGCUCCAGCCGGGUCAGUGGCUCCUGCCAGGUUGGUGGCCCCGUGGCCACUGGUCACGUCCCCAAUGUCCACUCCAGGUGUGUCCCCUCUGUUCAAUCUGGCCACGUCCCCACUGUCCAGCCCUGGCCGUGCCCCCUCUGCCCACUCCAGCCAGACCCUCCAGGACACCUCCGGGGACACCCCCGGAGAGACCCCGCGGUGACCCUGGGGACACCCCCGGAGUGACCGUGGGGACACCCCCGGAGGGACCCCUCAGUGACCCUGGGGACACCCCCGGAGUGACCCUGGGGACACCCCCGGAGAGACCCCGCGGUGACCCUGGGGACACCCCCGGAGUGACCGUGGGGACACCCCCGGAGGGACCCCUCAGUGACCCUGGGGACACCCCCGGAGUGACCCUGGGGACACCCCCGGAGAGACCCCGCGGUGACCCUGGGGACACCCCCGGAGUGACCGUGGGGACACCCCCGGAGGGACCCCUCAGUGACCCUGGGGACACCCCCGGAGUGACCCUGGGGACACCCCCGGAGAGACCCCGCGGUGACCCUGGGGACACCCCCGGCCCCGAGCACUCCGCAGGGAAACCGCCCCGUUCCCAUUCCCGUUCCCCCAUUCCCAUUCCCAUUUCCCCAUUUCCCCAUUCCCAUUCCCACUCCCGUUUCCCCAUUCCCCAUUCCUAUUCCCGUUCCAAUUUCCCCAUUCCCGUUUCCCCUUCCCCAUUCCCAUUCCCGUUCCCGUUCCCAUUCCAAUUCCUGUUUCCCCAUUCCCCAUUCCUAUUCCCAUUCCCGUUCCCCUUCCCAUUCCCAUUCCCGUUUCCCCAUCCCCGUUCCCGUUCCCAUUUCCCCAUUCCCGUCCCCAUUUCCCCGUCCCCGUUCCCAUUUCCCCGUUCCCGUUUCCCCGCUCCCAUUCCCAUUCCCGUUCCCAUUUCCCCAUCCCCGUUUCCCCGCUCCCAUUCCCGUUCCCGUUCCCAUUUCCCCAUUCCCGUUUCCCCGCUCCCAUUCCCGUUCCCAUUUCCCCAUUCCCGUUCCCAUUUCCCCAUUCCCGUUUCCCCGCUCCCAUUCCCGUUCCCAUUUCCCCAUUCCCGUUCCCAUUUCCCCAUCCCCGUUCCCAUUUCCCCGUCUAAGGGACAGCGGGGUGGCACUAAGGGACAGCGGGGACACAGGGGACAGCGGGGGUGGCACUAA